rnacentral:tRNA from 1 species
GGAGAGGUGGCUGAGCGGCCUAAGGCAGCAACCCACAAGGGUUGUUAUGCGGUCAAGUGCCGCAUCGGAGGUUCGAAUCCUUCCCCUCUCCGCCA